GAUGAACGCUAGCGGCAGGCUUAACACAUGCAAGUCGAGGGGCAGCGUGAUGAAGUAGCAAUACGGAUUUGACGGCGACCGGCGCACGGGUGCGUAACGCGUAUGCAACCUACCCAUAACAGGGGGAUAACACUGAGAAAUUGGUACUAAUACCCCAUAACAGUUCAAGAGGCAUCUUUUGGAUUUGAAAGUUCAGGCGGUUAUGGAUGGGCAUGCGUUGUAUUAGCUAGAUGGUGAGGUAACGGCUCACCAUGGCAACGAUACAUAGGGGGACUGAGAGGUUAACCCCCCACACUGGUACUGAGACACGGACCAGACUCCUACGGGAGGCAGCAGUGAGGAAUAUUGGUCAAUGGACGCAAGUCUGAACCAGCCAUGCCGCGUGCAGGAUGACGGCUCUAUGAGUUGUAAACUGCUUUUGUACAGGGUAAACCUCGGUACGUGUACCGAGCUGAAAGUACUGUACGAAUAAGGAUCGGCUAACUCCGUG
rnacentral:rRNA from 1 species